rnacentral:rRNA from 1 species
AUUGAACGCUGGCGGCAGGCUUAACACAUGCAAGUCGAACGAGUGGCGGACGGGUGAGUAUUGCUUGGGUAUCUAGCUCCCGGAGGGGGAUAACUACGGUAAACUGUAGAUAAUACCGCGUACCCGAGUAUGAGCCCAAGUGGGAUUAGUUAGUUUGUGAGGUAAGGGCCCACCAAGCAGACGAUCUCUAGCUGGUCUGAGAGGAUGACCAGUCACACUCGGACUGAUACACGACCCAGACGACUACGGGAGGCAGCAGUGGAGAAUAUUGCGCAAUGGGGGCAAACUAGCGCAGCCAUGCCACGUGAAUGAAGAAAGCCUUCGGGUUGUAAAGUUAAUUCGCUUGUGAGGCGUUAACUACAGAAGAAGCACCGGCUAACUCCGUGCCAGCAGCCGCGGUAAUUC